UACGUAGGUGACAAGCGUUGUCCGGAUUUACUGGGCGUAAAGAGCGCGCAGGCGGUCGAUCAAGUCGAGUGUGAAAGCCCCCGGCUCAACUGGGGAGGGUCAUUCGAUACUGAUCGACUCGAAGGCAGGAGAGGGUAGUGGAAUUCCCGGUGUAGUGGUGAAAUGCGUAGAUAUCGGGAGGAACACCAGUGGCGAAGGCGACUUCCUGGCCUGUUCUUGACGCUGAGGCGCGAAAGCUAGGGGAGCAAACGGG
rnacentral:rRNA from 1 species